AAGACGUCUACAUUAGAUACCCGGGUAGUCCCAGCCGUAAACUACGCGCGUUAGGUGUAUCGGUGACCACGAGUCACCGAGGUGCCGAAGGGAAACCGUGAAACGUGCCGCCUGGGAAGUACGGUCGCAAGGCUGAAACUUAAAGGAAUUGGCGGGGAGCACCACAACGGGUGGAGCCUGCGGUUUAAUUGGACUCAACGCCGGGAAGCUCACCGGAUAAGACAGCGGAAUGAUUGCCGGGCUGAAGACUCUGCAUGACUAGCUG
rnacentral:rRNA from 1 species